AUGUUCUCAUUUAUUCUUCUAGGAAGUGAGGUUGGUGUAGGAGCUGUCACCCAUAUCCCCGACCAUGGAGCACCAGGAGACAUCAAGACAUCACUGACUAGUGGCCUCCUGAUUCGUGAAUCCAUUGUAUAUUCUAUAGGAUUCCCUACUGAGACUUCAGGGACACUGAAGAAAGUGAGUGGAUCUCACCAGGGAAGAGAACCAACAGACUCCAUCAGUAUCCCUAUGACUGGCUUUAAGGGGAGAGAUUCCAUUACAGACACUGAAAGAGACAUAUGUGUCAUGGAGACAACUCUAAGAGCCACAGCCACUCAAGCCCCACUUCUCACUGUGCACACUGGAGCAGGUGACCUCAUCCCUGGGAUGCACAGGAGAACUGUGUCCUCUCCCACUUCACCCUCAGCUCCAAGUGAGAUAUCCUCUGGAGUCACCAUUGCCAUUGCAAGGCCCUCACUCUCCAUGACUCCAGUAGAACCCACAGCUAGCCCUGGCUCCAGUGGUCCCUUGAACAUCAGCCUAUCUGGGACAAUUUUUUCUACACCCCUUGCAGACACACCUAUAGCUGAAAUAGCUCCUGGAGAGAGUUCCAGCACCCCCCCUUCUUUAUGGUCCACUUCAGUUGAUUCUUUCAAUACUGUUGGCUCAGCCCCAGGAACUGAAAUCACCUCCAUUGUGCCUCUAUAUUCACUUCCAACAGCCUCAAGUGCCACAGAAACCACACCAAAUCCUGAUUUGUCAGUGAGACCUACCACACUAGAGCCAGGCUUAGCUGCCCUAACUUCCACUGCUCCCACCAUCAUUCCAACACUGUCUGAGGAAGACAUAAACACCUCACUGGUGUCUAUAGAAGGACCAACAGAAGAUAAAACAGCGUCCAGCACCUUCCCAGCAAAUGCAGACACCCCUGGUAUCACUCACAGGGAGCACUUCUUCACAGGUCCUGGAGUAACUUUUCAACCUGACAUGGCCUCUACUUCUCUGCCCAAUUUAUGUGAAGGGAUCAGUUAUUCCAGAAAUAUCCCCUCACCCUCUUUAGGGAGUAGGAAAAGCACUGCCAUGAUUGGAGUCUGGACAAGCCCAGCUGAACCUCACACUGUGGAGCCUAAGAAGCCCACCCCUGCUGAGGGUUCCCUCUGUAUUGGACCAGUGACUGAAUUUAGCAGCAGGGAAAGUGGACAUUUAAAGAAUAGCUUGGCCUCUGCUGUGACCUUUAACUCUCCACUACCAAGCCCCAUUGCUUCUAGCAGCAUGGAUGUAGACUCAGAAAUGGCGUUAGGAUUAUCUCUCUGGACAGACAGCUCCUCAUCACAAGUAGAAGUCAGUUUUCCUGAUCUGGUUUCCACCACAGGAGAUGGACCCUCCCUGGGAACAGAACCUCACACUCCUAUCCACGAAUCUCUGAGCCCAUGGCCAGGCUCCUUUCCUGCCUUAAGUACUCCCACAGCCUGCACAAGAACAGCUUCCCUUGAGGCUGCUACUUCAUUGGAGGACCCAGGGCCAGCCGGCCUGACUCCAGAGACUGAGAGAAACCCACAGGCAACACCAACUCCAGCUAUCACCCUGCCUCCAGCCAGCACACAGGAAGUUUGCACAACAGCAUCUCCCAGUCCUCCUGACACAACCACAGAGGGCAACAGUGUCAAGGCAGGGACAACCUCUGUUUCUGAUCAAGUGCCUUCCACUUCCAGCCUCUUCCCAAGUAGUGAUGCUGGUGUGGUGCCAGCCACACAUGCCCAAGGCCAUGAAGCACCAGGAAGCACAGGAGCACUGAUGAGGAGCCCCCUGACAUCUAUGUGUUCUAUUAUGCCCACAGGUAAGUAGGUAUCUCAUCUCUGUCUCUGUGUUGGAGGUUUAUCCUUUUUAGGGCCUUGUUUCCCAGUCUUACAGAGGAAACAUGAAAUUAUUUUAGAGAUCAAUCCUCAAGAGCUCUUCUGAACCUCUGAUUCCUUUCUAUGUACAGCCUGGAGAAGAGGAGUUUUAGAGGUAGGAGUGAGGUUCCCACUGCUAAGGUCUUUUAUAUAAUCAACCAUAGGUAUAAAGUUGGAAGGAAACAUUGAAGUAUCAGGUAUUAUGGAUAGCCUCUCAUUUUACAGAUAUGGAUACUGAGGCUUAGAGAAGUAAAGUAAUUAGCUCAGGGUGAUUGGAUAGGACUAGAAGGGACCCUCAAUGGCCACCUAGCUGGACCCCAUCAUUUUACAUAUGGGAAAACUGCAGAGAAGUCAAGUGACAUAUGCCCUAUGACACAAAAUUAGAAAGCAUCAGAGGUGAGAUCUGAACCCUGGACUCCAUUAUGCUGUAUAUCAAGGUCAAGAGAAGAGGUCAGCCCUCACACCUCACAUUGAAUGGCCAAGGCUCUUUCUACUUUGGGGAAGGUUCCUUUUAUGAACUCUCCAAGGGUAGAGAAUUUGUUUUUAAAUUUUUAUUUACAUCUUCCAUAUUUAGGAUAUGGCUGAACACAUAAUAAACACUUAAUUAAUGGCA
rnacentral:lncRNA from 1 species